rnacentral:rRNA from 1 species
GACGAACGCUGGCGGCGUGCUUAAUACAUGCAAGUCAACGACUUUUAGAGUAGCAAUAUUUAAAAGGAGUGGCGCACGGUGAGUAACACGUAGGUAAUCUGCCUUCAGGACUGACACAACUCGUCGAAAGACGGGCUAAUAUCAGAUAAUGCAGCGGCUCCGCAUGGAGACAGUUGUUAAAGUACAAGCGCCUGAAGAUGAGCCUGCGGUCCAUUAGCUAGUUGGUAGAGUAACAGCCUACCAAGGCAACGAUGGAUAGCUGGUCUGAGAGGAUGAUCAGCCACACUGGAACUGAGACACGGUCCAGACUCCUACGGGAGGCAGCAGUAAGGAAUAUUGCUCAAUGGCCGAAAGGACGUGAAGACAGCAACG